ensembl:lncRNA
CAAAUACAAAACAAAACCAACAAAAAUCAUUUUAUGAGUUAAAUCAGCACUCUACAGCUUGUGCCCUUUGAAUUCCACUGUUGGCUUGGCUUGCAGACCAAAGGUAAAGAGGUACACAGAACUGCUGCUCACUACAAGCAGGCCAAUUGUUCCUAGAGAUGGUGUUUGAAGUGAGCAAGGUAAGAAUGAUCAGUGCUGUUGUUUGUCAACACCUCAGAACAUAUUUUUUCAGACUUUCUCUAUCAACUACUAAAGAGUUGAUAGAUAUACAAGUAUACUUUUUUACGUGUAUUUAUGCUUUGGUUUGAAAGCAAACAACGCAUCCACGCAGCGCGGCUGACACAGAAGAGCGUACAUCAUCUGCCGACUGCUCAGAAUUGCCAAAAUGGCACUACGCUGAUUUGGAGAGACACAGAGGAGAGGAAUUGUUGAAGGGAAGUGAUGUACACAUCUUUCAGGGCUGGUUUUGUGCGUAUGCAACAGUUAUAAAUGAGGCCCCAGGAACCAAGAUAUGGGAGAACCAGGAUACAAGGCUUAUAAUUGCAGUAAAAAAACAUACAAGACUUAGCAAAGAAUGGCAGUGAGAACCUGGUUAUAUAGGAUGAGCUAACCAUGCUAAUGAGACACAGGUGCAAACAAUGAGCGCUGAUGAGACUGGGCAGAGGAUUAUGGGGAAUGAAGUCCUUGAAAGAGUGGAAAAGGUAUGGUAUGGAGUGCAUUCAAGAGCAUUCUAGCUGGUGAUCGUGACAUAGCCCAUCCUCCUCCCCUGAAGGAGUGGCUUCCAAACAGCCAGGAUGGAGCCGAAGACCACCAGGACAGAGCCGGCAAAGCAGAAGACUACCACAGCAGAGCAGACACGACUGAAGAUCCCCAUGAUGGAGCAGAAGACCACCAGGGUGGAGCUGAUGGAACUGAGGACCACUUCAGCUGUGCUGAUGGUGCAGGGGACCACCAAUAUGGCUCAGGUUGAUCAGAUGUCCACCAAGGCGGAUCAAGCAGAACUGCAAUAGAGAGCACAAAGAGGUUAACAACGGCCUCUGCGGCCAUAACAGGCCAGGCAGAAAGUAC